CGAGUGGCGGACGGGUGAGUAAUGUCUGGGAAACUGCCCGAUGGAGGGGGAUAACUACUGGAAACGGUAGCUAAUACCGCAUAACGUCGCAAGACCAAAGAGGGGGACCUUCGGGCCUCUUGCCAUCGGAUGUGCCCAGAUGGGAUUAGCUAGUAGGUGGGGUAACGGCUCACCUAGGCGACGAUCCCUAGCUGGUCUGAGAGGAUGACCAGCCAUACUGGAACUGAGACACGGUCCAG
rnacentral:rRNA from 1 species